rnacentral:rRNA from 1 species
UAACCUACCUAUAAGACGUGGGAUAACGUUACGGGAAACCGGAGCUAAUACCGGAUAAUAUUCGAACCGCAUGGUUCGAUAGUGAAAGGUGGUUUUGCUAUCACUUAUAGAUGGACCCGCGCCGUAUUAGCUAGUUGGUAGGUAACGGCUUACCAAGGCGACGAUACGUAGCCGACCUGAGAGGGUGAUCGGCCACACUGGAACUGAGACACGGUCCAGACUCCUAGGGAGGCAGCAGUG